rnacentral:rRNA from 1 species
ACACGUAGGGGGCGAGCGUUGUCCGGAAUUACUGGGCGUAAAGGGCGUGUAGGCGGCCUUUCAAGUCAGGUGUGAAAUUCCAGGGCUCAACCCUGGGCGUGCACUUGAAACUGGGGGGCUUGAGUGCAGGAGAGGAAAGUGGAAUUCCCAGUGUAGCGGUGAAAUGCGUAGAUAUUGGGAGGAACACCAGUGGCGAAGGCGACUUUCUGGCCUGUAACUGACGCUGAGGCGCGAAAGCUAGGGGAGCAAACAGGAUUAGAUACCCUGGUAGUCCUAGCCGUAAACGAUGGGUACUAGGUGUAGGGGGGUUAGACGCCCUCUGUGCCGCAGUUAACACAUUAAGUACCCCGCCUGGGGAGUACGGCCGCAAGGCUGAA